CGCAAGCCUACACAACCACUCCACUUCUCUCAACUUUUAUAUAUAAACACACAUGCAUAUAUGUUAUUUAUCUCAUAUAUCCCAAAACCAUACCCUUGCCAAAAGAAAUCAGCAAAUAGGCAAUCCAAAGAUGUCGAGCGUCAGUCAGGACCAGAAUACUCAUCAGGCUGGAUCACAGUACAACCCCUCUCAUGCUUACGAACCUCCACCAAUCCCAGUGAAUCCGACAUUCAAAGACAGUCGAGGAACCGACUUUCCUCAGAUGACUAAUCCUGAGUCAUCAGAAAAAACUGUGUCCAAGGGAGAUGGCUUUUGCAGGGGACUUUGUGCGGGCUUGUGUUGCUACUGCUGCUUGGACAUAUGCUUUUGAUCAUGUGCGUGCAUGCAACUUACCCAGGAGGAAGAGACUAUACAUAUACCUAUGUAAUAUAACAUAUAAUAUAAUAUAUGAAUUGGAUGUAUCAUACAUGUUUUGUUGUUUUACAGUUUUUUUUUUUAAAUUUCUUUUCAUAUGCCUUCCUAUCUGCUACAUAUGCUCAUGUUGAUGGGUGCAUAUUAGCAUAAAUCUUUUUUUUUGCUAAUAACUAAUAUUAUAGUAUGAAUGAGUUGAGAUGCUUUUGAAUUUAAAGAUCCAUCUUCAGGA